GGGCUCGUAGCUCAACGGUAGAGCAGUUCCCUCUUAAGGAAUUGGUUGAGAGUUCGAAUCUCUCCGAGCUCA
rnacentral:tRNA from 1 species